rnacentral:lncRNA from 1 species
CUUAUUUGUCUGCUUCUCUUCAUCAUCCCUGCUCUCCACCAACUUCGCAUAUGCUACUUUUUAAGUCUCCACCUUCCUUUUAACUUCUUUGUUCCACUACCAGUCCCCUCGGUGCUUGUCAGAUCGGCCUCUCGAGACACUCAACACCUCUUUAGCGGUCUCCUUAAUACAACUGGAAGUCGUCUCCAACAUACUAUCCAUAUUCCCUUUACUUUUCCAAGCCCCCAUAGUCGACAACUUCUCUUCUAUUUCCAACGCGCUGGCCUGCGUCAAGCUACCACACUUAAUCCUAGGUUGAUCCUCUAU